CCUACGGGAGGCAGCAGUGGGGAAUAUUGGGCAAUGGAGGCAACUCUGACCCAGCAACGCCGCGUGAAUGAUGAAGGUCUUCGGAUUGUAAAGUUCUUUUCUAAGGGAAGAAGAUAGUGACGGUACCUUAGGAAUAAGCCUCGGCUAACUACGUGCCAGCAGCCGCGGUAAUACGUAGGAGGCAAGCGUUAUCCGGAAGGACUGGGCGUAAAGGGGGCGUAGGUGGUUUGACAAGUUAGUAGCGAAACUCCGGGGCUCAACUUCGGAACUACUACUAAAACUGUUGGACUUGAGUGCAGGAGGGGCAAUCGGAAUUCCUAGUGUAGCGGUAAAAUGCGUAGAGAUUAGGAGGAACACCAGUGGCGAAGGCGAAUUGCUAGAAUGUAACUGACGCUGAGGCACGAAAGCGUGGGGAGCAAACAGGAUUAGAUACCCUUGUAGUC
rnacentral:rRNA from 1 species